GGACUGUAGCAAUACAGUUGCUGGCGACCGGCAAACGGGUGCGGAACACGUACGCAAUCUACCCAGAACUGAUGAAUAGCCCUCCGAAAGGAGGAUUAAUACAUCGUAACAUAAUGAAGUGGCAUCACUUUAUUAUUAUAGCUCCGGCGGUUUUGGAUGAGCGUGCGCCUGAUUAGGUAGUUGGCGGGGUAACGGCCCACCAAGCCUGCGAUCAGUAACUGGUGUGAGAGCACGACCAGUCACACGGGCACUGAGACACGGGCCCGACUCCUACGGGAGGCAGCAGUAAGGAAUAUUGGUCAAUGGACGCAAGUCUGAACCAGCCAUGCCGCGUGAAGGAUGAAGGUCCUCUGGAUUGUAAACUUCUUUUAUAUGGGACGAAACCCUCUGAUUCUUCAGGGAUUGACGGUACCAUAAGAAUAAGCACCGGCUAACUCCGUGCCAGCAGCCGCGGUAAUACGGAGGGUGCAAGCGUUAUCCGGAUUCACUGGGUUUAAAGGGUGCGUAGGAGGGCAGGUAAGUCAGUGGUGAAAUCCCCGAGCUUAACUUGGGAACUGCCGUUGAUACUAUCUGUCUUGAAUAUUGUGGAGGUGAGCGGAAUAUGUCAUGUAGCGGUGAAAUGCUUAGAUAUGACAUAGAACACCAAUUGCGAAGGCAGCUCGCUACACAUAUAUUGACUCUGAGGCACGAAAGCGUGGGGAUCAAACAGGAUUAGAUACCCUGGUAGUCCACGCCCUAAACGAUGGAUACUCGACAUACGCGAUACACAGUGUGUGUCUGAGCG
rnacentral:rRNA from 1 species